AACGAACGCUGGCGGCGUGCCUAACACAUGCAAGUCGUGCGGGAAAGUGGGGGCAACUCCACGAGUAGAGCGGCGCACGGGUGAGUAACACGUAGGUAACCUGCCUUCGGGACUGGGAUAACCUGUCGAAAGACGGGCUAAUACCAGAUAAGACCACAGGGGCUUUGGCCUCUGGGGUAAAAGGUGGCCUCUGCUUGCAAGCUACCACUCGAAGAUGGGCCUGCGCGCCAUUAGCUUGUUGGUGAGGUAACGGCUCACCAAGGCAAAGAUGGCUAGCUGGUCUGAGAGGAUGGCCAGCCACACUGGGACUGAGACACGGCCCAGACUCCUACGGGAGGCAGCAGUGGGGAAUAUUGCGCAAUGGGCGAAAGCCUGACGCAGCGACGCCGCGUGGGUGAUGAAGGCCUUCGGGUCGUAAAGCCCUGUCGGGAGGGACGAAACCUCGGCGACCUAAUACGUCGUCGACCUGACGGUACCUCCAAAGGAAGCACCGGCUAACUCCGUG
rnacentral:rRNA from 1 species